rnacentral:misc_RNA from 1 species
GAUGAAGAACGCAGCGAAAUGCGAUAAGUAAUGUGAAUUGCAGAAUUCAGUGAAUCAUCGAAUCUUUGAACGCAUCUUGCGCUCUUUGGUAUUCCUUGGAGCAUGCCUGUUUGAGUAUCAUGAGCAAAUCUCAAAGUCAAUUCCUUUUGUUGAUUCAAUUGGUUUUGCUUUGGACUUGGAGGCCUUGCAGAUUUCACAGUCUGCUCCUCUUAAAUGCAUUAGCUGGAUCUCAGUAAUUAUGCUUGGUUCCACUCGGCGUGAUAAGUAUCACUCGCUGAGGACACUGUUAAAAAGGUGGCCAGGAAAAUACUGAUUGAACCGCUUCUAACGGUCUAUUAAGUUAGACAAUUACCCUUAAGUUUGAUCUCAAAUCAGGUAGGACUACCCGCUGAACUUAAGCAUAUCAAUAAGCGGAGGA